rfam:Mucilaginibacter polytrichastri strain RG4-7 Scaffold1, whole genome shotgun sequence.
UUGCGGUGGGUAAGUCUUUUACGACCAGCUCCUCUUGAACUCCCCCAGGGUGGGAACGCAGCAAGGGUAGAGGGUUGUAGCGGUGCGAUAAAAGUAGCUUACCCACUU